ACCCGCUGAACUUAAGCAUAUCAAUAAGCGGAGGAAAAGAAACCAACAGGGAUUGCCCCAGUAACGGCGAGUGAAGCGGCACGAGCUCAAAUUUGAAAGCUGGCUCCUUCGGGGUCCGCAUUGUAAUUUGCAGAGGAUGCUUCGGGAGCGGUCCCCAUCUAAGUGCCCUGGAACGGGCUGUCAUAGAGGGUGAGAAUCCCGUAUGGGAUGGGGUGCCCGCGCCCGUGUGAAGCUCCUUCGACGAGUCGAGUUGUUUGGGAAUGCAGCUCUAAAUGGGUGGUAAAUUUCAUCUAAAGCUAAAUAUUGGCCGGAGACCGAUAGCGCACAAGUAGAGUGAUCGAAAGAUGAAAAGCACUUUGAAAAGAGAGUUAAAAAGCACGUGAAAUUGUUGAAAGGGAAGCGUUUGCGACCAGACUCGCCUACGGGGUUCAGCCUGCCUUCGGGCAGGUGUACUUCCCCGUGGGCGGGCCAGCGUCGGUUUGGGCGGCCGGUCAAAGGCCCUCGGAAUGUAACGCCUCUCGGGGCGUCUUAUAGCCGAGGGUGCCAUGCGGCCUGCCCGGACCGAGGAACGCGCUUCGGCUCGGACGCUGGCUUAAUGGUCGUAAACGACCCGUCUUGAAACACGGACC
rnacentral:rRNA from 1 species